rnacentral:rRNA from 1 species
GUGGGGAAUCUUGCGCAAUGGGCGAAAGCCUGACGCAGCCAUGCCGCGUGGAUGAUGAAGGUCUUAGGAUUGUAAAAUCCUUUCACCGGUGAAGAUAAUGACUGUAGCCGGAGAAGAAGCCCCGGCUAACUUCGUGCCAGCAGCCGCGGUAAUACGAAGGGGGCUAGCGUUGCUCGGAAUUACUGGGCGUAAAGGGAGCGUAGGCGGACAUUUAAGUCAGGGGUGAAAUCCCGCGGCUCAACCUCGGAACUGCCUUUGAUACUGGGUGUCUUGAGUGUGAGAGAGGUGAGUGGAACUCCGAGUGUAGAGGUGAAAUUCGUAGAUAUUCGGAAGAACACCAGUGGCGAAGGCGACUCACUGGCUCAUUACUGACGCUGAGGCGCGAAAGCGUGGGUAGCAAACGGGAUUAGAAACCCUAGUAGUCC